UAGGGAAUCUUCCGCAAUGGACGAAAGUCUGACGGAGCAACGCCGCGUGAACGAUGAAGGCCUUCGGGUCGUAAAGUUCUGUUGUUAGGGAAGAACAAGUGCCGUUCGAAUAGGUCGGCACCUUGACGGUACCUAACCAGAAAGCCACGGCUAACUACGUGCCAGCAGCCGCGGUAAUACGUAGGUGGCAAGCGUUGUCCGGAAUUAUUGGGCGUAAAGCGCGCGCAGGCGGUCUUUUAAGUCUGAUGUGAAAGCCCACGGCUCAACCGUGGAGGGUCAUUGGAAACUGGGAGACUUGAGUGCAGAAGAGGAGAGUGGAAUUCCACGUGUAGCGGUGAAAUGCGUAGAUAUGUGGAGGAACACCAGUGGCGAAGGCGACUCUCUGGUCUGUAACUGACGCUGAGGCGCGAAAGCGUGGGGAGCAAACAGG
rnacentral:rRNA from 1 species